rnacentral:rRNA from 1 species
AUUGAACGCUGGCGGCAUGCCUUACACAUGCAAGUCGAACGGCAGCACGGGAGCAAUCCUGGUGGCGAGUGGCGAACGGGUGAGUAAUAUAUCGGAACGUGCCCAGUCGUGGGGGAUAACGUAGCGAAAGCUACGCUAAUACCGCAUACGAUCUAUGGAUGAAAGCGGGGGAUCGCAAGACCUCGCGCGAUUGGAGCGGCCGAUAUCAGAUUAGGUAGUUGGUGAGGUAAAGGCUCACCAAGCCGACGAUCUGUAGCUGGUCUGAGAGGACGACCAGCCACACUGGGACUGAGACACGGCCCAGACUCCUACGGGAGGCAGCAGUGGGGAAUUUUUGGACAAUGGGCGCAAGCCUGAUCCAGCAAUGCCGCGUGCAGGAUGAAGGCCUGG